UACGUAGGGUGCAAGCGUUGUCCGGAAUUAUUGGGCGUAAAGAGCUCGUAGGCGGCUUGUCGCGUCGGCUGUGAAAACCUGGGGCUCAACCCCGGGCCUGCAGCCGAUACGGGCAAGCUAGAGUUCGGUAGGGGAGACUGGAAUUCCUGGUGUAGCGGUGAAAUGCGCAGAUAUCAGGAGGAACACCGGUGGCGAAGGCGGGUCUCUGGGCAGUAACUGACGCUGAGGAGCGAAAGCGUGGGGAGCGAACAGG
rnacentral:rRNA from 1 species